rnacentral:pre_miRNA from 1 species
ACGCGCCGUCGUGAACGCGACGGGCGGCGGUCACCGGAUCCGGUGACCGCCGCCCGCUGUCCGACUCACGCGCCGGAU